AUACUUCUAUUAGUUCAUAAGUGUGGUUAUUGUGUGCCUACUCCAUUGCAUAACAUGUGUCUCCCACAAACCUUGUUAUGUUGUAAGCACAUUAUCCUCUGAUG